CCGCGGGGAGUGCAGAGGGGGCGGGGGCGGAGUCGCCAUCUUGGACUCGGCUCGACCCAGUCUGGUGACCGGCGAUGCUGGGCCGGGCUCGGCGCAGGGGGUCGGGUUUUGUUGUGAUUCAAAUGAAAUAAUGUGAACAUGGAAAAUGAAAAAAAGCCUUUUUCCUGAAAAAGAAUAAGCAAGAAGCGCAAAGAAGUUAAGUACUUGACCAAGUUCACACCAAGAUCUGAACCCAGGUAGUCUUACUUCAGAGCCUACGUUCUUAUCCGUGCCCAUUGCCAGCCUCGUGCUCAUUCGUUUGUACCGGGAAACUCAUGCUUUAUCCCUAGAACUCCUCCAAUGGCAUUUUUGUACACAUCGGAGGAAGUGGUGAACUCAGACAGCAGAGUCAGGCGCAAGAAGGAGGAUAUUAUUUGGUGCCCAUUCAGUUGCUGUGCCUGUUACGGCUUAGUUUAAAAAGAUGGCAGAGAGAAGUGUUCCUGAGAAGACCAGAUAGGACAUUUGCAUCUCAAAGAUGGGGAAACAAGUUUGAAGCAGGGUGUCCUGACUAUAAAUGCAGUGUUGUUUCCAAGAUGCCGCAGUGGUGGCUGCCUCUUGGCUCAGUGCCAGCUCACUCCAGGAGUGAAGAUGAGUUCCUGGGCUCCAUGUCACCCAACACAAUGCCACACGUCAUGCAUGCUCUGUGAAUAGCUCUUGGUGAAAAUGGAAAUUAAACCAGAAUGUGAACAUGCUGAAUGAAUCGGACUCCCCAGAGAUUUGGAGGAGAAGAAAACCUCCCACUCGCCUUUGACUUUUGGAUUUCUUGUUUCCCUCAUGUUUGGAUUGCACUUUAAGAAGUCCAUCUGGAAGUUCACUUUUUAUAUUUUGCAAAUGCAAGUAGAGCUUAUUAUCAAAAGACAAACCCCUAAAGGAAGAAAAACAGUGGGCAGGGAUUGGGGGGGGUCAUAGAAUCACCUAAAAAAUCCAGUGAUGGUAUUUAAAGUUAAAUUCCAGAGAUUAAACUCCAUUUAUUGCUGGGCCUGACUUUGCCAGUCUGCUAGUUUGGAUGAAUGCAUGGAUAUGUUUAGCUGCUUGCUUCUAUCUAUUAAGCUAGAAGAUGAGUUUGGGUAGGUGUCAACACCUGCAAAUGUCAUCAACCCUGCAGUACCUCUGUAGCACUGAGUUAUCAAAGUAGCACUGCCACAGUCUGCCUGAGACUUCAGUCAUCCCACAGUGGGCACCAAUACACUUCUUUCCUUUUUCUGGCCUCAGGAAAACAUUCUUAGGAUUUCAGGAUCCUAUUAUAUGUUGAGUGAAUUGCGUUCUUCUUGAAUUCCUUACCAAGUCACUCUGGUCCUUGGAGAUUAGAAGUUUAAACUUUGAAGGCCAUACCUCAUCGAGUUCUCUUCACUUUGGCUUCCCAGCCAUUUCUGUUGCAGCCAGACUUAAUCCUCUUCAGACGUGUCAAGCCAACCAUCAGCCAAGGUGGUCUUUAUUUCCUCACACAUGCUGCAGAGAUUAAGGCUGCCUGAUUUUCUCAUAUAUUCCCUGGCACCCCAACUACAGAUUCAGCUGCUGUCUGAGGUUGAUGUAAAUAAUGUUUACAACUUGGCCCCAACUUGGCCCCAACUUGUUGGCCAUUUAUGGGAAGAAUCCAUCUUAUUCUAGAGUCACAAAGGCUAAUGCCAUCUUGGUCAUAACAAGAUAGCUAGAUAGAGCAUUAGCAUCCUAGAAUCUCUUUGUAAAUUUCCAGACCAGGGAAGAUUAAGAGUAGUUUGCUUCAAUAGGUCUGGGUAAAAUUGUCAGCAUUAGGCAGAGAAAAUAGCAUUGGAUUUAGAGUUGCGACCCAAGUUAGAGGUAGCUGUACUACCUUCUAGCUGUGUGGUCUUGGACAAGUAACAUAAUCUCCCUGGACCCAUGUUCUCAUCUGGAAGAUAGGAACCCUGUCAUGGACCCUGCACAUACCCCUGGAUGAUUGGAAUAAAGGAUAUGAGACUGUCUUGAAAACAACGAAGUGCUAUUUAAGUGAGAGCUACCACCUUUGUCACCUAUAGCACAUUGCAGGUUGUCUGAUGACCAUUCAUUGCAAGUUUUAUGACAGUACUAAAAUACAUCAAGAAGUUUCUUUUCUCCGAACCUCAGUUUUCUUAUUGUAAAAUGAGGUGAAAAUGAUACUGCAUAACUCACAGAUUCAGUGAGAUAAUAAUUGUGUGUGGGCCUGGAGUGCACAGGACGGUGGUCUUCUUUCUCUCUUGGUACUACCCUGAAACCUGGUAGAGCAACUGUGCACUAUGUAUUUUUGAAUCCACAUCUCCCAAAAACACCUUCUUGGAAGCUUUCUGGUGAUAGGGUCAAUGACCUUGGUGUUGCACUGCUGAAGGCAUCUGAGGACGUAGCAAACACUGAAGCAGGGAGAACUCCUGCCUGUCUUCCUGCCCCAACAUGUGUAUUGUACCCUGGUCCCCCAGUCCUGUCCUAGCUGGGAGGUUCUGUGCCUUUCAUUUCAAGAGGAACAUUCAAGAGAGAGCCUAGUCAGAGAAGAGAGACCAAAGAAGGGAAUGGACUAGAAACAAAUGAACAAGUACUGAAGAAUACUGGGAUAUUGAAUCUGGAGAACAGAAGACAUAGGGAUCCAUGACACAGAUGUCUUAACCUAUCUGAAGGAACUGGUGUUUUUCAAACUUUUCAGUGGCAACCCAUAGCAAAAAGGACAUUUUAUAUCAAACCUAGCGCACAUUUACAUAAAUCUAUAAACAACUGAAACAAAACCUUGAAAAAAAAACCUGUCUCUCUCACAUGCU